rnacentral:rRNA from 1 species
AUUGAACGCUGGUGGCAUGCCUUACACAUGCAAGUCGAACGGCAGCGGGGGAGAAGCUUGCUUUUCCUGCCGGCGAGUGGCGAACGGGUAAGUAAUACAUCGGAACGUGCCCUGUAGUGGGGGAUAACUAGUCGAAAGAUUAGCUAAUACCGCAUACGACCUGAGGGUGAAAGUGGGGGACCGCAAGGCCUCAUGCUAUAGGAGCGGCCGAUGUCUGAUUAGCUAGUUGGUGGGGUAAAGGCCUACCAAGGCGACGAUCAGUAGCUGGUCUGGGAGGACGAUGAGCCACGCGGGGACUGAGACACGGCCCAGACUCCUACGGGAGGCAGCAGUGGGGAAUUUUGGACAAUGGGCGAAAGCCUGAUCCAGCAAUGCCGCGUGUGUGAAGAAGGCCUUCGGGUUGUAAAGCACUUUUGUCCGGAAAGAAAUGGCUCUGGUUAAUACCUGGGGUCGAUGACGGUACCGGAAGAAUAAGGACCGGCUAACUACGUGCCAGCCGCCGCGGUAA